UUGGUGAUAAAGCAAUAAUUUUUAUUCCAACACUUGGACUGAUGUUUGUUUAUUCAAGUGAUGAUACUUAUAUUGCAAAUGAAUCACA
rnacentral:snoRNA from 1 species